UGAAGCUGGAUUCGCUGUAAUCGCGCAUCAGCCACGGCGCGGUGAAUACGUUCCCGGGCCUUGUACACACCGCUCGUCAAGCCAUGGAAGCCGGGAGUGCCUGAAGUACGCGACCGCAAGGAGCGUCCUAAGGUAAAACCGGUGACUGGGGCUAAGUCGUAACAAGGUAUC
rnacentral:rRNA from 1 species